UCGGAACCAGCACACAUGGGCCACUGGAUCUUGUGAGCAUGAGCCACUUGGUGAAGAUACACAGGAAAAACCAUGGAUAAAACAAGGUUCAGCAGCUCACCAGGCUCUUGUAGCCAUCGUCCUGGAGAAGCGAUGAUUGAAGAAUGUUGUGAAGUUCAUCAACUUCAGGACAACAUCCGAUCUGGAAAGCUUCCAGAAUCACAUACUCAUGUACGCAGGAAAGCGGUUCUCC